UGGGGAAUUUUGGACAAUGGGCGCAAGCCUGAUCCAGCAAUGCCGCGUGCAGGAUGAAGGCCUUCGGGUUGUAAACUGCUUUUGUACGGAGCGAAAAGGUCUGCCCUAAUACGGUGGGCUCAUGACGGUACCGUAAGAAUAAGCGCCGGCUAACUGCGUGCCAGCAGCCGCGGUAAUACGUAGGGUGCGAGCGUUAAUCGGAAUUACUGGGCGUAAAGCGUGCGCGGGCGGUUAUAUAAGACAGAGGUGAAAUCCCCGGGCUCAACCUGGGAACUGCCUUUGUGACUGCAUAGCUAGAGUACGGUAGAGGGGGAUGGAAUUCCGCGUGUAGCAGUGAAAUGCGUAGAUAUGCGGAGGAACACCGAUGGCGAAGGCAAUCCCCUGGACCUGUACUGACGCUCAUGCACGAAAGCGUGGGGAGCAAACA
rnacentral:rRNA from 1 species